UACGGAGGGGGCUAGCGUUGUUCGGAAUCAUUGGGCGUAAAGGGCGCGUAGGCGGCCGACCAAGUCGGAUGUGAAAUCCCUCGGCUCAACCGAGGAACUGCACUCGAUACUGGUUGGCUAGAGUCCGGGAGGGGAUGGUGGAAUUCCCAGUGUAGCGGUGAAAUGCGUAGAUAUUGGGAAGAACACCGGUGGCGAAGGCGGCCAUCUGGACCGGUACUGACGCUGAGGCGCGAAAGCCAGGGGAGCGAAUGGG
rnacentral:rRNA from 1 species